rnacentral:rRNA from 1 species
UGAACGCAGCGACAGGCUAACACAUGCAAGUCGAGGGGCAUCACGGGAGUAGCAAUACAACUGGUGGCGACCGGCGCACGGGUGAGUAACGCGUAUGCAACCUACCUAUCAGGAGGGGAAUAACCCGGCGAAAGUCGGACUAAUACCGCAUAAAACAGGGGCACCGCAUGGUGAUAUUUGUUAAAGAAAUUCGCUGAUAGAUGGGCAUGCGUUCCAUUAGGUAGUUGGUGAGGUAACGGCUCACCAAGCCGACGAUGGAUAGGGGAACUGAGAGGUUGGUCCCCCACACUGGUACUGAGACACGGACCAGACUCCUACGGGAGGCAGCAGUGAGGAAUAUUGGUCAAUGGGCGGGAGCCUGAACCAGCCAAGUCGCGUGAAAGGAAGAAGGAUCUAUGGUUCGUAAACUUCUUUUGCAGGGGAAUAAAGUGCAGGACGUGUCCUGUUUUGUAUGUACCCUGAGAAUAAGGAUCGGCUAACUCCGUGCCAGCAGCCGC